rnacentral:rRNA from 1 species
AGUGGCGGACGGGUGAGUAACGCGUGAGAAUCUGCCUUGGGGUCGGGGACAACCACUGGAAACGGUGGCUAAUACCGGAUAAGCCGAUUGGUGAAAGAUUUAUUGCCCGAAGAGGAGCUCGCGUCUGAUUAGCUAGUUGGUGAGGUAAGAGCUCACCAAGGCAGCGAUCAGUAGCUGGUCUGAGAGGACGAUCAGCCACACUGGGACUGAGACACGGCCCAGACUCCUACGGGAGGCAGCAGUGGGGAAUUUUCCGCAAUGGGCGAAAGCCUGACGGAGCAAGACCGCGUGAGGGAGGAAGGCUCUUGGGUUGUAAACCUCUUUUCUCAGGGAAGAAGCUCUGACGGUACCUGAGGAAUCAGCCUCGGCUAACUCCGUGCCAGCAGCCGCGGUAAUACGGAGGAGGCAAGCGUUAUCCGGAAUUAUUGGGCGUAAAGCGUCCGCAGGUGGCGAUUCAAGUCUGCUGUCAAAGCACGGGGCUUAACUCCGUAAAGGCAGUGGAAACUGAAUAGCUAGAGUACCGUAGGGGUAGAGGGAAUUCCCGGUGUAGCGGUGAAAUGCGUAGAGAUCGGGAAGAACAUCGGUGGCGAAAGCGCUCUACUGGACGGCAACUGACACUCAGGGACGAAAGCUAGGGGAGCGAAUGGGAUUAGAUACCCC